rnacentral:rRNA from 1 species
AUACGGAGGGGGUUAGCGUUGUUCGGAAUCACUGGGCGUAAAGCGCGCGCAGGCGGGCUGAUAAGUUGGAUGUGAAAGCCUACGGCUCAACCGUAGAACUGCAUCCAAAACUGUCAGUCUAGAGUCUGGGAGGGGAAGAUGGAAUUAGUUGUGUAGGGGUAAAAUCCGUAGAGAUAACUAGGAAUACCAAAAGCGAAGGCGAUCUUCUGGAACAGUACUGACGCUGAGGCGCGAAAGCGUGGGGAGCAAACAGGAUUAGAAACCCUAGUAGUCC